GAUGCGAACAUAAACAAGGCCAAUCGAACUAAGCUUAAGUGUAAUCAUUUCAUGGGAUCAAAAGCGUUUGUAGCGGCUCGUGCUGAACUUGGUAAAACUAACCCUGAAGGAGUAGAGCCUGACAGAAUCGAGUUCUAUAAGCAUACUCAUUACACGAGUGAGAAAGGAUGGUCAUCUUUAGAGGCUGAGACUCACUAUAACAACAUGACAGAUUUGAAAGAUCUAUAUACAUCGGGAGAGUCUUCCAUGACUAUUGAUGAAAUUGUGGAUACUAUACUUGGUACAAAGUCGGGGUACAUAAAAGGACUUGGUUAUGGCCCAAAACCUAAUACUACAAGAUCUACACAAAGGAGAACGGCAGAGUUAGAAGACUCCCUCAAAAAGGCAAAACAGGAAGCUGUUAGUGCCCAGCUUGAAUUACAGAAUUGAUUAAAUGCAGCUGAAACUGUGGUAGAUAAUCAGCAGUCUCAAAUAGAAGACCAACAAUCUCAAAUACAAGACCAGCAAUCUCAAAUACAAUCAUUAAAUUCUCAAUUGAAUACUAUAGUGGCACGCCAAGAGGAAAUGUUUAGAAAAAUGCAACUUCUUUCUCGCUCAUCGCCACCAAGCAAAGAUUGAGAUCCAUCAAAAUGUCAACUUAAGGUAUAAAAGGUGAGAAUUGAAUCAAGACUAAUGCAAACUAAGUAUCACCACAUUAUUGGUACUUUGGAAGAAACUUCUACUUUUCAGUCUCAGUUUAGGAGUAAUAUUUCUUCUAGUUCAGUUAGAUUUGCUUGUUAUUGGACUUAUUUUAUUUUAAUUUAAGGAGCUUGUAAUGACAUAUUACCUUCAUAUAUUUUACUCGUUUUCAAUUGUAUGAUCAUGGGUGGAUUUCAUUAUUA